rnacentral:rRNA from 1 species
UACGUAGGUCCCGAGCGUUGUCCGGAUUUAUUGGGCGUAAAGCGAGCGCAGGUGGUUUAUUAAGUCUGGUGUAAAAGGCAGUGGCUCAACCAUUGUAUGCAUUGGAAACUGGUAGACUUGAGUGCAGGAGAGGAGAGUGGAAUUCCAUGUGUAGCGGUGAAAUGCGUAGAUAUAUGGAGGAACACCGGUGGCGAAAGAGGCUCUCUGGCCUGUAACUGACACUGAGGCUCGAAAGCGUGGGGAGCAAACAGG